rnacentral:ncRNA from 1 species
AAAAGUUUUGGUCCUGGACUUACUGUUGUUUACUAUUAAGCUUAUACAUGCAAGUCUCAGCAUACCAGUGAAAAUGCCCAAGCCCCCUAAAAAGAAAUACCGGAGCAGGCAUCAGGCACUACCUUUUAUGCCCAUAACGCCUUGUCCUACCACACCCCCACGGGAUUUCAGCAGUAAUAAACAUUGGGCUAUGAGUGAAAACUUGACCCAACUAUAAUAUAAAGGGCUGGUAAAUUUCGUGCCAGCCACCGCGGUUAAACGAAAGGCCCAAGACAACAGAAAAACGGCGUAAAUUGUGACUAGAUGCGAUUAACAACAAAAAUAUUGAACUCUAAACUAGUUGUAAAAUGCUUAAUUUACGAGGAAACCCACAAAAUAUUUUUUUACUUACCCCCUUUGAUCACACGAAAGCUUAGAAACAAACUAGGAUUAGAUACCCUACUAUGCUAAGCCCUUAACAUUGAUAGCAUAUUAUACCUUGCUAUUCGCCAGAGAACUACAAGUGAAAAACUUUAAACUCAAAGGACUUGGCGGUGUCCCAUACCGACCUAGAGGAGCCUGUCCUAUAAUCGAUACCCCCCGCUCCACCUCACCUCUUCUAGCACCCGCUCAGCUUAUAUACCGCCGUCGACAGUUUACCCCAUGAGGGAUUAAUAGUAGACACAACAGCCCCCGCUAACACGUCAGGUCAAGGUGUAGCCCAUGUUGAGGAAGAGAUUGGCUACAUUUUUUGUACCAAAAAACACGGAAUGCAACAUGAAACCCUGCAUGAAGGUGAAUUUAGUAGUAAGACUAAACAAGAGUGUUUAUCUUAACAUCGCUCUGGGACGCGCACACACCGCCCGUCACCCUCCUCGCUGACCCCCCCCCCCCAUCUAUAAACCAACUAAACCGACUAGAGGAGGCAAGUCGUAACAUGGUAAGCGUACCGGAAGGUGUGCUUGGAA